CCACCUCACACCUCAGGGUGAUGGUCUCUCCAUUGUACAGUGGGCGCCAUUUUGGCUUCAUGAUCAGAGUGGCAUUAGGCAGGGCUACAGUCAGAUUGAUGGAGUCGCUGUGCUGUGAUGUCACAUUUCUCCCCUCCAGCCUCCCCUCACACCAGUACUGCCCCUGGUCAGACCCAGCAGCACCAGGGAUGGUGAGUCUGUUACCAGUUACACUGUGACCAGCAGUCUGAGACACAGCCAUCUGGGCCUGGUCU